rnacentral:rRNA from 1 species
AGCGAACGCUGGCGGCAGGCCUAACACAUGCAAGUCGAACGGGCACUUCGGUGCUAGUGGCAGACGGGUGAGUAACGCGUGGGAACGUGCCUUUCGGUUCGGAAUAAUCCAGGGAAACUUGGACUAAUACCGGAUACGCCCUUCGGGGGAAAGAUUUAUCGCCGAAAGAUCGGCCCGCGUCUGAUUAGCUAGUUGGUGAGGUAAAGGCUCACCAAGGCGACGAUCAGUAGCUGGUCUGAGAGGAUGAUCAGCCACAUUGGGACUGAGACACGGCCCAAACUCCUACGGGAGGCAGCAGUGGGGAAUAUUGGACAAUGGGCGCAAGCCUGAUCCGGCCAUGCCGCGUGAGUGAUGAAGGCCUUAGGGUUGUAAAGCUCUUUUGUCCGGGAAGGUAAUGACUGUACCGGAAGAAUAAGCCCCGGCUAACUUCGUGCCAGCCGCCGCAGUAACAC